UUGGGCACUCUAGCGAGACUGCCGGUAAUAAACCGGAGGAAGGUGGGGAUGACGUCAAAUCAUCAUGCCCCUUAUGACCUGGGCUACACACGUGCUACAAUGGUUGGUACAACGAGUUGCGAGUCGGUGACGGCGAGCUAAUCUCUUAAAGCCAAUCUCAGUUCGGAUUGUAGGCUGCAACUCGCCUACAUGAAGUCGGAAUCGCUAGUAAUCGCGGAUCAGCACGCCCGCGGUCGAAUACGUUCCCGGGCCUU
rnacentral:rRNA from 1 species